UGUUGACUUUUGACAUCAAACUCUUCAGUCCAGCUGCACUCUAUUGAGUGUGGACGAUCUUACUCAAUAGUACCCAAACUGGUCAAGGUUCCUGUAAAGAGAAGACCAAACUUCAGGCAAGAAUAGAGUUUGGAGAUGGGCUUGCUUACCCAUCUAAAGGAUGUGGAAAUGGAGAAUAAGUGAGCUAAUCUUGGAAGAAUUUUGCAGCAAAACAGGACAUUUCUCCAUGGAUCCAGAGGAAGUGGUAACUGAGGGUUUGAGUUGUAUAGGGAUCUGGCUUCUUCAUGGGUAUUCCUAGUGGGUGGCCUCAAGUCUACAACAGAGACUGCUUGGCUGUCUGCAGUGGAAAAGACCUUCAAGUUGACUGUGAGUGGGUGCGACUCAUCAAGAAAAAUAACCUCACCACCACAACAACACAUGAUGGGAGAGACCGAAACUUCUUUGGGAGAACAUAAGGGAAAAAAAAAAAAAGAAAAAGUGAAGUCUAAGUAUUAUUAAACACAUGAAAGCAGAGUCAUUUACUUAAUAGGAAGGCGCUCAUUCACACACAGGUAGACUUGUGGUCCCUUAGAAGUACGUAAACACGACCCAUCAGUCCACCACAGUCAACAUCAGAAUUUCUUGGGAAAUGCCUCAUGAAAGAGUUUUUAAAGAAUAAUAUGACUGUGGAUCUGUCAAAUAAUUUCCCAAAAGCCAUGAAAGAUGAGUUGCUCUGCUCUGUUAUGCAUUUCCUUCCCUUGCAUGGGCACUUACAGCUUGCCAAAUUUAGUCUGAGAUCUGAACAGAGAGAAAACAUGAACUCUUUGAACUGAAGUUCAGCUUCCUGUUUCUACAUGGCCUCUCAUACUCUUGGCCAUUCUGUAGAUCUACCCAGGUGUGUUUCCUGGACACUUGAUAAAAAUCAUUUUCACAUCAAAGUUGACCAAAAAUGAUUGAUGAUAAGUAGUUAAGGGUUUAUAAAUGCCAGACUAUGAGAGAUGAUUGCAAAAUAAAUAGAUAUAAAUAAAUAAAUAAGUAAAUAAA